AUGCCCAAAAAAUGCUUCAUCUGUCACAAGGCAGGGCAUCAUAUGGACAAUUGCCUAGAAUGGUACAAGCCACAAGCUAUUGCCCAAUACUAUGGUAGUGCUAAUGCAGGGCUGGGCUUCUUCCACAUAGAAUCAGAUGGCAAGGAGGCAGUAAAAUGGCUGAACAUGUCCAAUGUGUGUGUGGCUGUGAUUGAAGAAGGAUCUAUUACAUCACAAGAACUGAAAAACAACUUUUCUGAAAUAUGGAAAACCAAUUGGCCAUGGCAAGUGAGGCAGUUAACUGAGAGAAUAUUCCUAGUCAGGUUGCCUCCCCACAAGAAGGUGAAGGAUUUGGUUGAGUUACCCUCCAUCAAUCUCAAGAAGAAAGGAGUGACUGUCUCUUUUGAUAAAUGGGAUGGUGAAGAGGUUGCUUAUGCUGAGUUGCAAGAGGUUUGGGUGACCAUGAUUGGGAUUCCUGUUAACAAGCUUACUUGGAAAGUGAUCUCUCAGAUUACCUAUAUUUUGGGCAUCUUGGUGAAUGUUGACUGGCAUGAAAUAUUUAGAAGCUUCUAUGAAAAAGUAAAGGUGCAGGUUGCUGUGAGGGACAUUUCUAAGAUCCCAACAGAAAGGCUGGUGGAGGUUGACGAGGAAUUAUUCCUUAUAUCAUUCCUUGUUGACACAGCCCCAAUCACUGGCAAUAUAAAUCCAAGUACUAGUGGCGGGGAAAAUCAGAUGAAGAUCCGCUGGAAGGAAGUCCUGAGAAAGAUAUGCAAAUGCAGGGCAUAA
rnacentral:rRNA from 1 species